UACGGAAGGUGCAAGCGUUGUUCGGAAUGACUGGGCGUAAAGAGCACGUAGGCGGUUUUGUAAGUCGGAUGUGAAAGCCCCGGGCUUAACCUGGGAAUAGCACCCGAAACUACAAAACUUGAAUGCUUAAGAGGUUGGUGGAAUUCCAGGUGUAGGAGUGAAAUCCGUAGAUAUCUGGAGGAACAUCGGCGGCGAAGGCGGCCAACUGGUGAUGCAUUGACGCUGAGGUGCGAAAGCGUGGGGAGCAAACAGG
rnacentral:misc_RNA from 1 species